rnacentral:tRNA from 1 species
ACCUGGCUGGUUCAGUCAAUAGAGCAUGUGACUUUUGAUCUCAGGCUUGUGAGUUCGAGCCCCAUGUUGGGUG